UACGUAGGGUGCGAGCGUUAAUCGGAAUUACUGGGCGUAAAGCGUGCGCAGGCGGUUAUGGAAGACAGUUGUGAAAUCCCCGGGCUCAACCUGGGAACUGCAUCUGUGACUGCAUAGCUAGAGUACGGUAGAGGGGGAUGGAAUUCCGCGUGUAGCAGUGAAAUGCGUAGAUAUGCGGAGGAACACCGAUGGCGAAGGCAAUCCCCUGGACCUGUACUGACGCUCAUGCACGAAAGCGUGGGGAGCAAACAGG
rnacentral:rRNA from 1 species